GAUGAACGCUGGCGGCGUGCCUAAUACAUGCAAGUCGAGCGAACAGACGAGGAGCUUGCUCCUCUGACGUUAGCGGCGGACGGGUGAGUAACACGUGGAUAACCUACCUAUAAGACUGGGAUAACUUCGGGAAACCGGAGCUAAUACCGGAUAAUAUAUUGAACCGCAUGGUUCAAUAGUGAAAGACGGUUUUGCUGUCACUUAUAGAUGGAUCCGCGCCGCAUUAGCUAGUUGGUAAGGUAACGGCUUACCAAGGCAACGAUGCGUAGCCGACCUGAGAGGGUGAGAGGCCACACUGGAACUGAGACACGGUCCAGACUCCUACGGGAGGCAGCAGUAGGGAAUCUUCCGCAAUGGGCGAAAGCCUGACGGAGCAACGCCGCGUGAGUGAUGAAGGUCUUCGGAUCGUAAAACUCUGUUAUUAGGGAAGAACAAAUGUGUAAGUAACUAUGCACGUCUUGACGGUACCUAAUCAGAAAGCCACGGCUAACUACGUG
rnacentral:rRNA from 1 species